rnacentral:lncRNA from 1 species
CCCCUCUUUCUAAAUGGGUAGCCAUUCAUCUUCAGUAUGUACCCUUUUCAAAUGCAUCCUGAACCCUUGGGACUCCUUUAAAAAACAUCUUUUUCCCUUCUUCUCCUUGGUUCUCUCUUCACUAAUAGGUAAUUGUGACCCUGUACUAUAUGACACUACCCUCAGAUGCAUCCUCUAAAAUGGAAAGAGUGAAUUUCCCAAACUUUAAACUCAUUGGCUGAGGAUACGGCCCAGCGGAAGGGAACCCAGACGCCCAACAUCCUGGCAAAAGGGAUUAGGAUGAUCCUUUCCUCUGGAUAUAAGGAAGACACUCUGGAAUAAAGGUUUUAGAAUGACCACUUUAGAGGAAAGACAGAAUCCUUGUAUAUCCUGCCUUAGGAAAACAUAGGUGAAAGAGGUGAGAGUGAAUGUCUUGCUUCUGCUGUUUCCUCAAAGCCAAGGAGUUAUAUUUUGGGGUAGCAUAUCCUGAACCACAUCAUAAACAUGCAUCACCUUCUGCAGAGGCAACUGAUACUUCUUGUGAAUACUUUCAAAGAUAUUUUGUGCAUAUGCUAGCAAAUAUAUGUAAAUAUAAUAUCUUCUCCCCUUACAGUCUUGCUUAUUUCAGUUAACAAUAUUGAAUUGAUCUCAUUCCUCAUUAGUACAUAUGGUGUU